UUGACUAGGGACGUUGUACGAGGCAAUACGUGGCGCCAUCUAUCGGAUCCGCUACGAACCUUCAAGCUGUAGUUCGUCAGCUGUCAUGGUGCUCGGCCUUGAUCUGAUCGAAGGAGCUAAAAACUUUUCUACAUUUAUUUACUACAAGGAAAAGUAACACGUCACAUCGCAUGCGGUCCCCUCUGAUGAGAAGAGCACGAAGGAGACUUAAAUCUGUGACCUAUAACCUCUGACUCCAGGAACGUCUUUCGUCAUUAUUAACAGAAUCGAAAGACGCAUUAAGAAGCCAAUAACAAAACAAUCAGAAGAGAAAUUGAGGGAAACUGUCUAGCUAAAACAAUAAUGAAACAGGACGAAGAAGAGAUCGCGUGGGGCGCGGGCGGCUAGAGCCAGCGCAACAUGUCCGUGCACGCACGGAUUAGACUACAAAGAUAUUUGCUCGCAGUUGGCAAUCCGGAUAAUCACGAAUCCGUAUAACUGAGGUCCGGAUAAUCGAGUCUCCACUGUAUAUGAUAGUGUAAAGAUUCCACACCUAAUCCUGCCAUCCUAAUCCACGGACUAAUUUCGCUAGGAUAAGAGGGGACUGACUGCCGAUAAGCACGGGAUACUGGAUGAAGGAAAAAAAAAAAGGAAAUCCAUAUCAGCACACCAGGACAACAAGCAUCAAGGUGGAAUUUAUGCGCUGAGACUUUUUGGCGGUGAAAAUUUUCUGCCUGUCUGUACCGUACUGCUGUCCUUGGACUUUGCACGCUUCGAUAAUUCCCAAGACGCUAAUAUUCGCUGAUAUAAUAAUUGCAGGCUCAUUGUUAACAAUAAGACUUUCUAAAUUGGUAUAUAGUUCGUGUAAAGUGAUACUGACUUAAAGAAUACUUCAUUAUCAAAAGAUACGUACAAGUCCGAGUAGAAAAUCUUAAUCAUCCAUUCGAUUUAAUUAAUUAAAAUUACACGCUAUUAAAAUACGCAUAAACUCGUUGAAAUAAAACCGGUUGGCGAAAUAAAAAAAAAACAACAAAACUUGUAUUGCGAAACACAAUGAAUCGCUAAACGGUCGAUUUGAACCGUUUGAAAUUACCGCUUUAAAUAUUCCUUCGUCGAGGACGAAUGAAAGGGCUGUAAACCUAACCUAACCCAACUUACAAGUAUCUACGAGAAUCCAUCUUAAACGUAAUAGAGACUUUUUCACUGGCGAAAUGAAGCACUCGAGAAACAAAACCGCAAUUAAAGAAAUCCCUGAUUAAAAGACCGUUAUCUACGACCGGUAAAAAUCCCCUGAAUACCUACUCGAGUCGAGACUCCCUCUUUUUUGCAGUAUUUUAAAAUCAAACGAAUAAUCGCAUCCUAAAGCCAGUAGCAUAAGGUGCAUGUCUGAUAGCAAAAAAUAAUAAUAAGCACAACGACCAAACCCCAUAAAAAUAAUCCAAAACGUAUUAUCAGUGUCAAAUUAAAAUAUCACUUUAAUCGAUCAGUCAAAUUCAGUCAAAAAAAAUAAAUAUUACCAGCCCAUUCACGUUCGCGUAAUAAUUCGCAAAAAUUCGGCAACAAAAUAACGCCAAUAAUGCAAAGUCCCCUAAAUGUCCCAUUGGGGACGUGAACUCGGACCAGUCUAAGGACGUAGGUAUUGCAAAAAAAAAAAAA